CAAGGUUGACGGCAACCAGAUAUAUGUUGUCAAUUGAUGGUGUUGUUGUCACUGACCAUAUCGCAACAUUUACUACUGGGCUGGCUAUGCUGCUGGCCUCCUACUACAACUUCAAUAUAAUGUACCCUGUUGAUUCUGCAUCGACACUGGAGUUCAUUCAAAGAUGCUUUGUUGGCAUCAAUCCAGAGCGGGGCAGCAAGAUUGAAGUAAAGAAGCACUGCAAGAGACGCACCCAAGUCCAUCCCAGAGUUCUGUCCCUGAUUAAUGCUAUUGCUGAUGUAGAGUGGAGGUGCUAAAUCCACAAGGUGCUGUCAGCCAGUGGAGGGGAAGGAACUGGAAGGUGAUAGAAACUGAGCGCUACUCGACUGUAUCAAAGUACUCUCCAUGCCUGAUGAUGCACAGUGUAAUGAAAUGUCUACAAGUAAGGUUUUUUUUUUCUGGAAUGGUCCUUUGUA